CUGUCCCAUGUCGCCGUGAUGAAGGCGGGCGAUGCCGGGUCGGACGGCAGGCUGCGGGCGUCCAUGAACGGGCGUGUGGUGUCGGUGCUGGCCAAGGCUGGAGAUACCGUCGCCGCCGGCGCGCGAUCAUCGUGCUGGAAGCCAUGAAAAUGCAGCAUGUUCACGCGGCCCCGGUGUCGGGUAAGCUCAAAGCGUUGAACGCUGCGGAAGGCGAUCAGCUCACGACCGGGUUUGUGAUUGCAGAGAUCGAGGCUGUGCAAGACGCGGCUUG
rnacentral:misc_RNA from 1 species